rnacentral:rRNA from 1 species
GUACUUACUCCUACGGGAGGCAGCAGUGGGGAAUAUUGGACAAUGGGCGAAAGCCUGAUCCAGCCAUGCCGCGUGAGUGAUGAAGGCCCUAGGGUUGUAAAGCUCUUUUACCUGGGAAGAUAAUGACGGUACCAGGAGAAUAAGCCCCGGCUAACUUCGUGCCAGCAGCCGCGGUAAUACGAAGGGGGCUAGCGUUGUUCGGAAUCACUGGGCGUAAAGAGCACGUAGGCGGAUCUUUAAGUCAGGGGUGAAAUCCCGAGGCUCAACCUCGGAACUGCCUUUGAUACUGGGGAUCUCGAGUCCGGGAGAGGUGAGUGGAACUGCGAGUGUAGAGGUGAAAUUCGUAGAUAUUCGCAAGAACACCAGUGGCGAAGGCGGCUCACUGGCCCGGAACUGACGCUGAGGUGCGAAAGCGUGGGGAGCAAACAGGAUUAGAUACCCCUGUAGUCCAGGCAU